GGCCACACAGUAUGGACAGACUACUGAAUGUGCCGUGGAUCUCCAUGAUCUUGAUAAUUUGUGGGGGGUGGGGGGAAGUUUCUGUCCUGAAUUCCAACUAGUGUCAUUCUAGAAGAAGCAAAUCUUGUUCUGAUCCUCUUAGCUGAGGGUUGUCUCAAGUUAGUGGCUUUGUAAGGAAAUGCCUCCCUCAGACCAUGCUGGGGCUGGUCCACAGAAAAUCUUUCCAUCAGGUUUGACCCCCUUGGCACAGACUCUGGUAUACAUUACAGGUCUGGAACCUUGACUAUUUAAACUGAGCCCUAUGGACGGAUACUUCACAGCAGAGGAAGGAGACUCCGAAGGGAUUACCUUAUUCCAUUUAUCUUGGAAGUUGACAUCUGAGCCAUCUGUUCUGAAUCUGGAAAAGAAUUCACUGAUCCUAUUGUUAUGUUGGUUCCAAGUGCUUCCAUUGGGGGCUUUGGUGCCUCUGCUUCUGACCAGUGGAAGAGAAAGAAGGCAGAAGACACAGCCACUUCUUAAAAACUUUAGCCCAGAA
rnacentral:lncRNA from 1 species